GCCAGCAUGGUGCAGUGAUUCGAGUGUUAGACUGUGGCUCUGGAGACCAGAGUUCAAUUCCCUGCUUGGCC